rnacentral:rRNA from 1 species
UACGUAGGGUGCGAGCGUUGUCCGGAAUUAUUGGGCGUAAAGAGCUCGUAGGCGGUGUGUCGCGUCGGCCGUGAAAACCUGCAGCUUAACUGUGGGCGUGCGGUCGAUACGGGCAUCACUGGAGUUCGGCAGGGGAGACUGGAAUUCCUGGUGUAGCGGUGAAAUGCGCAGAUAUCAGGAAGAACACCCGUGGCGAAGGCGGCUCUCUGGGACGGUACUGACGCUGAGACGCGAAAGCGUGGGGAGCGAACAGG